rnacentral:lncRNA from 1 species
GUUCCAUCAGAUGACCUUGCUUCACUAGUGGUCCAUAACAAACUACAGUAUUAAAGCUGAAAUCUGAAAUUUGGGAGUAAACAGGUUGAUAUGAAGAUAAUAGUCUGGAGCAGAGAAGUAGUGGAAGAUACCCACCAAAAGAGUGAGCAAUGAGCUGUUUCAACUUGGGAACAGAGGCUGCUAAAUUUUCAGAGCCUUUUAUGUUGAUCUCUUCCUCCAAAAGGUCUUAAUUAAAGCUCUACAGAAGCAGCUGUGAUUCAGGUAAACUUUUAUUCUACUUUUAAGAAUUUCUCCAUAUUUUGCAAGGUUUGAUUUAAACCAUGUAACUAUGUUCACAUGCUUCAGUAUUUAGUUGAAUUGCGUGCAGAC